rnacentral:lncRNA from 1 species
CGUGACUUGCACGAUGAAUCUGCCAUUUCUUUCGAACGAGAAGCUUGUCGUUAUGAUUCUUAUAAGUUAUCAUCUUCUUGUAAUGGAAGAACAAGACAAAAAGAAAAUAGAAGAAAAGAAAGACAAGAGAUGUUGAUGCAAGAAAAUGAACGAAUCUUGAAUGAAAUUGAGAGAAGAAAAAAAGAAAAUGAGAGUGAGAAAAAGAAAAAAGAAUUUGAGAUUGAGAUUGAUAUUGAGAAAAAAAUUGAAAAGGAAAAAGAUGUUGAAAAAGAAAUGAGAGAAAAGGAAGAUGGUGAGCGAGAACAAGAAAAAGAGAGGAACAUUUUAACUAACCCCCGAGAUGUUUGUUUUUGUUCUGUUCCUUCUUUUCA